AUACGUAGGGGGCGAGCGUUGUCCGGAAUGAUUGGGCGUAAAGGGCGCGUAGGCGGCGCGGUAAGUCUGGAGUGAAAGUCCUGCUUUCAAGGUGGGAAUUGCUUUGGAUACUGCCGCGCUUGAGUGCAGGAGAGGUUAUCGGAAUUCCCGGUGUAGCGGUGAAAUGCGUAGAGAUCGGGAGGAACACCAGUGGCGAAGGCGGGUAACUGGACUGCAACUGACGCUGAGGCGCGAAAGUGUGGGGAGCAAACAGGAUUAGAUACCCUGGUAGUCCACACUGUAAACGAUGAAUGCUAGGUGUUGCGGGUAUCGACCCCUGCAGUGCCGGAGUAAACACAAUAAGCAUUCCGCCUGGGGAGUACGGCCGCAAGGUUGAAACUCAAAGGAAUUGACGGGG
rnacentral:rRNA from 1 species